GACAGAGGGUGCAAACGUUGUUCGGAAUUACUGGGCGUAAAGCGCGUGUAGGCGGCUAUGCAAGUCGGAUGUGAAAGCCCUCGGCUCAACCGGGGAAGUGCACCCGAAACUGCAAAGCUAGAGUCUCGGAGAGGAUCGUGGAAUUCUCGGUGUAGAGGUGAAAUUCGUAGAUAUCGAGAGGAACACCGGUGGCGAAGGCGGCGCCUGGGCCAAUAUUGACGCUGAGGUGCGAAAGCGUGGGGAGCAAACAGG
rnacentral:rRNA from 1 species